UACGUAGGUGGCAAGCGUUGUCCGGAUUUACUGGGCGUAAAGGAUGCGUAGGCGGACAUUUAAGUCAGAUGUGGAAUACCCGAGCUUAACUUGGGUGCUGCAUUUGAAACUGGGUGUCUAGAGUGCAGGAGAGGUAAGUGGAAUUCCUAGUGUAGCGGUGAAAUGCGUAGAGAUUAGGAAGAACACCAGUGGCGAAGGCGACUUACUGGACUGUAACUGACGCUGAGGCAUGAAAGCGUGGGGAGCAAACAGG
rnacentral:rRNA from 1 species